rnacentral:misc_RNA from 1 species
GUGAAUCAUCAAAUCUUUGAACGCAAAUUGCACUCUCUUCGGAGAGUAUGCCUGUUUGAGGGUCAGCCUAAAAAAAAUCGACAUAGUUGCUGUUUCGCGGUGACAUUCGUCUAAAUUGGGUCAUCUUAAACCUUUGGGUUUUAAGCGGCUUAAAAUUUUCUUUACGGUUCCACGAACGUUUCUAAGAUUUACUUCUUACGUUAAAGGUAUCUAUUUUUAUUAUACGUGUUCUUUGCAUCUGGUUACUUCCCUAACUUUUUCGUUAUCUUACCUCAUACAGGUAAGA